AAGGCAUUACGUUGUGCUGGAAGCAUCGUACACAACAGAGAAGCAGCGUCUUGAAUGGCUCGGCCUGGUGGAGUCCAGAGUCCGGUUGCUGGUGGGACUUCUGGAGAUAAACAGGCAGAUCUCCAUGGCACACGUUUAUGUGAAGUCCUUGGCUGGACACAGCAAGGGCAACAAAAAAGACGAAAAGAGCAGAAUGUGGCUGGUGGGGCUCGACUUUAAAGAGGAGGUUUCUGCAUACCUUAAAGACCAGUUGUCCUGCAUCCUCUGCAACUUCACUGCUAUUAUCCACAACGUAGCAGAGAAGGCUAAGGUCCAGGAGAAGGGGGUGUCUGUAACAGCCGCAUACAUCACGAGGAAAGAUCUUUUUUACACUCUGAACCUGAAGCGUGGUUCAAACCCGGCAACAGCACCACCUAGUUACAUGCCGACUGUGACCACAGGACAACAGGGCAUGAAAAGAAAAGCUGAGCCUCAGCGUCAGAUGUCAGCGAAGAAGCUCAAAGCUGACAAGAGCAAAGAAGAACAAAGUGAACAGGCUCUACGCAGUCGAAGACAGGCAUACAGAGCUGCCACCAGAAAAAAUAAAAAAUAAAAAUGAG
ensembl:lncRNA